rnacentral:rRNA from 1 species
AUUGAACGCUGGCGGCAGGCCUAACACAUGCAAGUCGAGCGGAUGAAGGGAGCUUGCUCCUGGAUUCAGCGGCGGACGGGUGAGUAAUGCCUAGGAAUCUGCCUGGUAGUGGGGGAUAACGUCCGGAAACGGGCGCUAAUACCGCAUACGUCCUGAGGGAGAAAGUGGGGGAUCUUCGGACCUCACGCUAUCAGAUGAGCCUAGGUCGGAUUAGCUAGUUGGUGGGGUAAAGGCCUACCAAGGCGACGAUCCGUAACUGGUCUGAGAGGAUGAUCAGUCACACUGGAACUGAGACACGGUCCAGACUCCUACGGGAGGCAGCAGUGGGGAAUAUUGGGCAAUGGGCGAAAGCCUGAUCCAGCCAUGCCGCGUGUGUGGAGAAGGUCUUCGGAUUGUAAAGCACUUUAAGUUGGGAGGAAGGGCAGUAAGUUAAUACCUUGCUAUUUUGACGUUACCAACAGAAUAAGCACCGGCUAACUUCGUG